rnacentral:rRNA from 1 species
CCUACGGGUGGCAGCAGUGGGGAAUAUUGCACAAUGGGCGCAAGCCUGAUGCAGCGACGCCGCGUGGGGGAUGACGGCCUUCGGGUUGUAAACUCCUUUCGCUAGGGACGAAGCUUUUGUGACGGUACCUAGAUAAGAAGCACCGGCUAACUACGUGCCAGCAGCCGCGGUAAUACGUAGGGUGCGAGCGUUGUCCGGAAUUACUGGGCGUAAAGGGCUCGUAGGUGGUUUGUCGCGUCGUCUGUGAAAUUCCGGGGCUUAACUCCGGGCGUGCAGGCGAUACGGGCAUAACUUGAGUACUGUAGGGGUAACUGGAAUUCCUGGUGUAGCGGUGAAAUGCGCAGAUAUCAGGAGGAACACCGAUGGCGAAGGCAGGUUACUGGGCAGUUACUGACGCUGAGGAGCGAAAGCAUGGGUAGCGAACAGGAUUAGAUACCCUG